GACCUGAACUCACUCGAGAGCACCC
rnacentral:rRNA from 1 species